rnacentral:lncRNA from 1 species
CGGGCAACGGCGGCGACGGCGGCAGCGACGGAUCCUCCUCCUCCCUUAUUCCCUUGCUCCUCUUUCUUCCUUUUCUUUUCCUUUCCGGCCGGGCCUCGUCCACUUUCCCUAACGGCGGCCUCGAUCCUACGUAAAGGCAUGACUUCCUGGCACCACAGGGAAAAUCGGGUGCAAGCCCAGAAACUAUUUCCCCACCACCACUUGUUGAAAAACUGAUUUGAAGGCAUCUCCGGGGUUGAACAAACGGAAAGUGCCAGGAUUUGAUGCGUCUCUGGUUUCGCUCUGGAGACCAUUCCCUGCUAAGUAUCAAGACGAAAAAAACUGGAAACUAAUCCGGUAAACAUUUAAACUUGAAAACUUAUGAUGAGUUUUCUUUUGAUCUAGCAAACGAUAUGCUUUUUCUCUUUUGUUGGCUAAUUCCUGCACUUUUUAAUUUCUUCAUUUGUUGAAAAUGUUUUCUUCUAUUGAAAACACUUUUGUUCUUCGGGUAUGUAAACUCGAGCAUCCUCUACUGGGUGGAAAUUUGCCUCUGCAGUAACACAAACAGACUUCUUGAAAUUACGAAAACAUUGGAAAGUAUAGGCCUUUCACAUUAGCACAAAUGAUUGAGCAUUUUAUGCUAUAAAGAAUUACAUGCUUAUUGUUUUUGAAAUCCAAAUAUUUAAAGAUACAAGACUUUUUACAUAGAAAGUAAGACUUAACGCAUUACGGGGCACA